UGGGGAAUAUUGGACAAUGGGCGGAAGCCUGAUCCAGCCAUGCCGCGUGUGUGAAGAAGGCCUUUUGGUUGUAAAGCACUUUAAGCGAGGAGGAGGCUACUUGGAUUAAUACUCUAGGAUAGUGGACGUUACUCGCAGAAUAAGCACCGGCUAACUCUGUGCCAGCAGCCGCGGUAAUACAGAGGGUGCGAGCGUUAAUCGGAUUUACUGGGCGUAAAGCGUGCGUAGGCGGCUUCUUAAGUCGGAUGUGAAAUCCCUGAGCUUAACUUAGGAAUUGCAUUCGAUACUGGGAAGCUAGAGUAUGGGAGAGGAUGGUAGAAUUCCAGGUGUAGCGGUGAAAUGCGUAGAGAUCUGGAGGAAUACAGAUGGCGAAGGCAGCCAUCUGGCCUAAUACUGACGCUGAGGUACGAAAGCAUGGGGAGCAAACAGG
rnacentral:rRNA from 1 species